UCAGAAAUACAUUCAGAGGGACAAGUGGUCCAGAGAAAUAAUAAAAUCGCACCCUUCCGUAGGCAUACACAGAGAGGAGGGCAAUGAAAGCCACUGGGGUUAUGGUGCCAGAUCCAGGACCACACUGCUCGAGAAAGCUGGAUACCAAGCUAAGCCCCAGGCUUGAGGACCUGUCCUUGCUGCCCACAGUCCAUCACCUCUCUUUGAAGCUGACUAUGUGGUCCUAAAGUGUGGUGCUGCCUCCAUAAAGAAAACUGUGCAUUUCAGAAUUGGCCCACCCUGCUGCAGGCCCACCUCCUGGUGUGGUGCCCACCAACAGAAGACCCAAGGUCUAACUGCAACCCUUCCUGAACCCACAGCACAUCAGACGAGAAAUAAUGCCACACGGCAGGUGCACUUGGACAUGCAUGCGUCAUUACCAGUCAAAGCCAAGAUGUAUUUCAGGAAAAUUUAUAAGGCAGAAA